GAUGAACGCUGGCGGCGUGCCUAAUACAUGCAAGUCGAGCGAACGGACGAGAAGCUUGCUUCUCUGAUGUUAGCGGCGGACGGGUGAGUAACACGUGGAUAACCUACCUAUCAGACUGGGAUAACUUCGGGAAACCGGAGCUAAUACCGGAUAAUAUUUUGAACCGCAUGGUUCAAAAGUGAAAGACGGUCUUGCUGUCACUUAUAGAUGGAUCCGCGCUGCAUUAGCUAGUUGGUAAGGUAACGGCUUACCAAGGCAACGAUGCAUAGCCGACCUGAGAGGGUGAUCGGCCACACUGGAACUGAGACACGGUCCAGACUCCUACGGGAGGCAGCAGUAGGGAAUCUUCCGCAAUGGGCGAAAGCCUGACGGAGCAACGCCGCGUGAGUGAUGAAGGUCUUCGGAUCGUAAAACUCUGUUAUUAGGGAAGAACAUGUGUGUAAGUAACUGUGCACAUCGUGACGGUACCUAAUCAGAAAGCCACGGCUAACUACGUG
rnacentral:rRNA from 1 species